rnacentral:rRNA from 1 species
AUUGAACGCUGGCGGCAUGCCUUACACAUGCAAGUCGAACGGCAGCACGGGUGCUUGCACCUGGUGGCGAGUGGCGAACGGGUGAGUAAUACAUCGGAACAUGUCCUGUAGUGGGGGAUAGCCCGGCGAAAGCCGGAUUAAUACCGCAUACGAUCUACGGAUGAAAGCGGGGGACCUUCGGGCCUCGCGCUAUCGGGUUGGCCGAUGGCUGAUUAGCUAGUUGGUGGGGUAAAGGCCUACCAAGGCGACGAUCAGUAGCUGGUCUGAGAGGACGACCAGCCACACUGGGACUGAGACACGGCCCAGACUCCUACGGGAGGCAGCAGUGGGGAAUUUUGGACAAUGGGCGAAAGCCUGAUCCAGCAAUGCCGCGUGUGUGAAGAAGGCCUUCGGGUUGUAAAGCACUUUUGUCCGGAAAGAAAUCCUUGGCUCUAAUACAGUCGGGGGACGACGGUACCGGAAGAAUAAGCACCGGCUAACUACGUG